rnacentral:rRNA from 1 species
GACGAACGCUGGCGGCGUGCUUAACACAUGCAAGUCGAACGGAAAGGCCCUGCUUUUGUGGGGUGCUCGAGUGGCGAACGGGUGAGUAACACGUGAGUAACCUGCCCUUGACUUUGGGAUAACUUCAGGAAACUGGGGCUAAUACCGGAUAGGAGCUCCUGCUGCAUGGUGGGGGUUGGAAAGUUUCGGCGGUUGGGGAUGGACUCGCGGCUUAUCAGCUUGUUGGUGGGGUAGUGGCUUACCAAGGCUUUGACGGGUAGCCGGCCUGAGAGGGUGACCGGCCACAUUGGGACUGAGAUACGGCCCAGACUCCUACGGGAGGCAGCAGUGGGGAAUAUUGCACAAUGGGCGGAAGCCUGAUGCAGCAACGCCGCGUGCGGGAUGACGACCUUCGGGUUGUAAACCGCUUUCGCCUGUGACGAAGCGUGAGUGACGGUAAUGGGUAAAGAAGCACCGGAUAACUACGUG